rnacentral:lncRNA from 1 species
GAAUAUCACAAGUAAAUGGUUUCGUGGGCUCUGUAAAGGUUGUGUAUCUGUUGUGCCAAAUUAUCUUCCCCAAAAGGUUUAUCAAUCUGCAUCCCCCACAGCAGUGUCCGAAAUUGCUCUUUUAUUCCCUCUGAUGGAAGCUACAUUUUUUCUGUUUGAAUUGCAGUCACCAAACGUGAAGCAAAACUGUGUCUACUUGGGGAUUUAUUUUUCCUUAUCCUGCUCAAGGUGUUGCUUUUCCCAUCUGCCUCGUGCUUUUCAUCAGUUCUGGAACGUUCUCAGCCCUGGUGGCUUUAAAUAUUGCCUCUUCUGAGUUGCUCCAGGCUCUCCUCCAGGACCUCCUGUCUGGUAGACAUUGAAUGUGCUCCUCCUUUUGUCUGAGCCUUGAAGCCCCUCUGUCUGAUUCCUGAAUGGUUUCUUCAAAUCACUAAUUCCAGUUGGCGGUCAACGUGUCCGCUUCGUUUCAUUUCGUUUCAUUUCUGCGGUUCUACUUUCUUCCCUUUCAGACCCCCCUGCUGUAUUUUUCCCAUAAUGUCGUGUUCUUGCUUUGUGGUGUCUUUUCUUCCCUUUAUCUCUUGAAAUACUUUAAACACACUUAUUUUAACGUUCCUUUGAAGUUGUCCUAUUUUCUGUGCUUCCCGGAGUGUAAUUGAUCCCUUUCAUUACUUCUGCUAUUUCUUCCAUGGGGCCUGAGUCUCGGCUCUCCCCAUGGCGUAGGCCAAGCCCGAACCCAGGCCCUGCUCAUUGGCCCAGCGACCCCAGGAGCCCCCGGCUUCUAGUGCCCUCACGGCUCCAGUUUCCUCUUGCUUUCUGGGACCCUGGAAUUUUGCUUUCUUGCUUUUAGCCUUGGCACGUGUAUGUGCACGGUGGUGUGUGUGAGCUUGCACGUGUGUAUGUGUGUGUGUGCACUUUAUGGUGUAUGCUGUGUGGUGAAGGGGGCUCUCUGUGCCAGCUCUGCCUCCCAUCUUAAAGUCUCACUCAAAAAUUACUUACUCAUCAACUAAUAAUAGUAGCAAUGAUAGUAAUUCAAUGUGUCUCUGAGGUUCCAGGAGACUUUAUAGCCCUCAUCACAGCCACAGCUCACACUAGUGGGUGUUUAAAUAGCACAUGUGAUCUUAUUUAAUUCUUUGAAUAACCUUUGUCAUUAUCCCCAUUUUACAGAUAAGUAAACUGUGGAAGGAUGGGAAAAAUGAAUUGGCACUGCUGGAGAUUAUGCAGAGGGCUGGUGAGAGGGGCAGGCUUCGAAACCCGACCCUGCUCUCUGCCCGAGCGUCCACUCAAGUCCUGGAGUGGGAGGCUCUGAGGUGGGCACCUCCAGCUUCUGCAGUGCUGAGGGGAGCCUUGUUCUUCUUCCUUCUCAGGACGGGAGGCCAAGGGGCUGGGAUGGCAGGUGCCGUGAACAGCGAGCGCCCAGAGUUGGCCAAAAGCACAGCGGAGGUGCAAAUCCAGCAGCCUGACUGGGCCAAAACUGUGGCUGGUGAUGAUGGCAGGUAUGCGUCCUGCAACAGUAGAAGGUGAGAGAGGCAGGUAUACCGAGGUCUUGGAGGAACACAGCCAGCUAUCAACUUCAGUCCUCACUCUGUGGCUGCCAACACAGUCUUUGAGGUCAGUAGAAAGAAUCUAACACACACUCCGUGGCUUUUCUUCCCAGAAACCUCCUUCUUUCAGCCCUGUCCCCCUAAUGCCCAGGCAUUCCUGUGGCCUCCCUCUCCCUGACUUUUGUUUAGAGAUCGUGGUCCUUUGGGAUCAACCCUGAUGAGGCCUGGGUUGCCCUGACCAGUGCUAGAUUUAGGGAAUCUUUUAUCAUACCUCACUUUGGGGUCAGCUUGGGAUUCAAAGAACCAAAAGGUAGCAGAGGGAUUUGAGAAAUGCUUAAGGAGUGAAACUGUCAUGACUUGGUGAUGAUGAAAGUUGGGGAGGCACCAGUGGGAAGAAGACUUUGGCUUGGUCUUUGUCUUGGCUAACCACUGCCCCUGGGUGAGUUCUGGUGACAUUGAAGGCUUUACCUGCCCAUGGUCGUAGCCGAAGGCCACAGGGCCAAGGUCUUCCUUUGAUGCCCCUCCACACCCUCUGGUUCCCUCAGAGAGAAAGUUUCUUCCUCUGGCUUCCCAUGAGAACUGGGCCCUUUCUCCGGCCCCAACCGGGCAGCGGGAGCUGAUUCCCACAUUCCAGCCUUAGGCUAAGGUCCUUCUGAUAUUGCAAAGAUAUCCCAGAACUGUGGGAUCCCGAGCUGCAAAUACCCCAGAUGGCUGAAGCGCUCUUAACUGUACUACAUUUAACAAAUUCACUGGACUGCCCCCCUGCAGACCACACCACCACCCUGUGCUCGCCCUGUCCUUCCAGUGGCCGGCUGCUUGGCAGACAGCCUGUGCCCUUCUGCUCCCACUGGAAUGUGCAGCUCAUCAUGAAGAGUUGAAUAAGACAUGGGUCUCAUUCAAAAGACCCCUCCAAAAAGAUACAGUGAGCUCCUAACCCCUGGAACCUAUAAAUGGGACCAUAUUUGGAAAUAGGGUCUUUACAGAUGCAAACAAGUUAAGAAGGGUCCUACUGGAUUAGAGCAGACCUUAAUCCAACAUAUAUGACUGGUGUCCUUGUAAGAAGAGGAGAAGACACGCAGAGACAGCUGCACGGCACUGUGCAUGGUAGUGUCUGCAUGACAAUGUGUGUGAGCUUGCGUGUGUGUGUGUAUGCACUUUAUGGGGUAUGCUGUGUUGUGAGGGGGGCUCUCUGUGGUGUGACUGGUGUCCUUAUAUGACUGGUGUCCUUAUAAGAAGAGGGGAAGACACACAGAGACAGCCGCACACAAGGAGAAGGCCAUGUGAGGGUGGAGAUGGAGACCGGGGUGAUGUUUUUACAGCCAAGAAACAGAAAGAAUUGUGGUAGACGGACAUGGAACAGAUUGGAGCCUCCGGAAGGAACCAACCCAGCAGUCCAGGGAACCUCUUCACUUGGACUUCUGGCAUCUAGAACAAAUAUCUGUUGCUCUAAGCCUCCUGGUUAGUGGUACCUGUUAGGGCAGCCCCAGGAAGCUAAUGCACCAACCCAGAGUCCUCUGUGUUUUGUUCCCAAACCUGCUUAUACCAGUUGCCUUUGUUAUUGUAAUGAGGUAAUUGAGUUAAACGUUACAUAAGCCCAUCGCUCUAAGUAUGAAAAGAGAGCUGCAGCUCUGAAAACCGCAUCAACUGCUUUGGAAAGAAUAGAUAAAGGUAAGUUCUUAAAUCUAUUGCAGUUGAAUUAGGUUGGGCAAGUCAACCAUGAAAGAUUGGAAAAUAAAUCAUAUGAAUCUAAAAGGAUUCUAACCUCAGAUUGUUUUAUAUGUGACUUCAAGUUCUCAGUCCACCCCAAAGAAACCUAAACUAGAAAUGAAAGAUUGAAUAUUACAAGUGUGUUUUAUGAGAGGGAGAGAGAGAUUGGAAUUCCAAUCAGGGGAACUGUGCUCAAAGAAAAGGGCUUUGCCUUAUAGCAAAUGACUAACAAAAUGACAUCGUGUUAUAUGUUUCAUGUUAAAACGAAAAUAUGUAUGGCACCCAUGUUGCAUUUUUUUAUCUUUCCCCACUUUGUCCAACUUUCACUUAACCAAAUAACCCAGUUAUGUCAGUUUGGAGGGUUUUUCUCGACAUCCAAGCUCUUUCUCCAAAGUCUGGCUGUGCUUUGAAAAAAAUCCUAAGCAAAUGGAAGAGGGAAAAAAGAUCUUAGAUUCUUGGCGUCUGUGUAUUUGGCCACACUUGUGAGCACCCCAUAGCUGUCCUCCAAAUUCUACUUGCUAUUAUUAUUUAAUGAUUCAUUCACCUGUUACUGUCAUUUCCUGGCUAUGGAGAUUUCCUCCUCAGCUGCCAGUUCCCUGAAGGCAGGGCCCUAUGGCAUAGCUUGUUCACAUAAGAGUCCUUCCCUGCACGGUGUUUGUAAACAUAAGCUGACGCUUUUAGGCACCG